CUCCGCCGUAGGAAAGGGUAGCCCUGGUGAUCAAAGCACAGGGCCGCUACUCUGCAGACUGCGUGCACCCUGACCUCUUGCAAAGAGAAAGGGAAGUCCUUAGCGAUUGGAGUAUCAGCUUUAAAACCAGGAAGGAAGAAGGUCCUGGCAGGGAGCUGACUUCUACCACAAAAGCAACCCGGAUCAGGAAGCUGGUGGAAGAGCCUGGGGCUUGGCUGGACGUGGCGCUUGUACCAGUGUGAACGAGUUCGGAAAACAGGGCUUUAAGGGCGUGAGGAGGAGGAGGA
rnacentral:lncRNA from 1 species